rnacentral:pre_miRNA from 1 species
AGUGGAAAUGCAAGAUCAUAUGGUAAGUCUAUAUUUAGCUUUUUGAGAUGCCACCAGACUGUUUUCCAGAGCAGCAGCACCAUUUUCCUUUCUACCAACAAU